GAUGAACGCUAGCGAUAGGCUUAACACAUGCAAGUCGAGGGGCAGCACAAGGUAGCUUGCUAUCUGGGUGGCGACCGGCGCACGGGUGCGUAACGCGUAUGCAACUUGCCCUAUACAGGAGGAUAACCCGUCGAAAGACGGACUAAUACUGCGUAUGCUCACAACUUGGCAUCAAGUGGUGAGGAAAGAAAUUCGGUAUAGGAUAGGCAUGCGUCCCAUUAGCUUGUUGGUGAGGUAACGGCUCACCAAGGCAACGAUGGGUAGGGGAACUGAGAGGUUUAUCCCCCACACUGGUACUGAGACACGGACCAGACUCCUACGGGAGGCAGCAGUGAGGAAGAUUGGUCAAUGGGCGCGAGCCUGAACCAGCCAAGUCGCGUGAAGGAUGACUGUCUUAUGGAUUGUAAACUUCUUUUAUACGGGAAUAACAAGAGUCACGGGUGACUCCCUGCAUGUACCGUAUGAAUAAGCAGCGGCUAACUCCGUG
rnacentral:rRNA from 1 species